GCGCUAGGCUUACCUGUAGGAAGGAGUGACGAAGCUGGAGGCGGGAAGUUGACAGUAAAGACUGUCCUUGGAGACCAGCAUGAGGUGAGGAAGACGACCUACGAUGAUACAGGAGCGGAUGUACUGCGGGCAGAUAGAAGUCACAGGUACUCGUCACAGCCACACACCUGAGGAUAUUGUGUGAGCUUGAGUCAGACGGCCACGAGGCGGAGCUGCUGAGGGGAAAGGUGCAUGGACCUGCUCUUCUUCCUGAUGGACUCUGCUAUCAGCUGCUCGGGAAGGCUAUCGUGGCUCACCUGUGCACACCGAGGAAAGUAAAUCUUUCAACUUGCUGUAGAUGUGCUGUGGGAGUUGGGGGCUGGACUCGACAUUUGGAGGAUAAACAUAGAGCGCUUGGCUGUGGGCACCGCCCCCCUCCCGCUCCUCCAUGGCCUCCCUGCACACGCCCAAUAUGGCUCGACGGAAGUCUUGAACCUCCGGGUCCUUCAUCAUCUCAAACUCGCAGACUGGCAUCCCGAUGGCGAAUCCUUAAUCUCCGACAGUAAAGGCCGCAGUGCCCGAUAACGUCCGUACCUGGAGAAGGUGGUAGAGGGGAUACUUCCUGGCCUCUGUGAAGAGCUGCUGUUUGAUGCUGAUGAGAGGAGUUUCUCGAAGACACUCCAGGCUCACCAUCAUCCCUGCGAACAACACAAUGCCGACAUUGUAAACUGUGUCGGGUUGGAAAACGAAACAGGUGAGCAAACUCGUACCGUUGGGAAGGCAACAGUCCACCAGGAUGCGCGGGGGCAUCAGGUGGAGACCCCAUAAUUCCCCCGACGACGGUCGGGGUGCCAUGGCAGCUGCCUCACCUCCGGAACACCUGUCAGACAGAUUGGUGGACGUGGUAAUAUCUGUGACAUUUGUUCAUCGUAGAUGAUGUCCGUACAAGUCUUGUGCCCAUAACAAAUCCCAAGUCAUUGGUCUACAGAUCUCAUUAUGUCCCUUAAGUCUUGUCAUAUCCCUUAAAGUUCAGAGAAGCCUUGUCUUGUUCCUAAUGAUCCUUACAUCUCUCUCCAACUCUCUAUAUGUAUUUAUAAGUCCCUACAAGUGUCUUCAUGUCCCUUCACGUCUAUAUAUGUCCUAACAAGUCUCUUGCAUCUCCUGAUGUACCCAAAACUGAUAGAAGUGUCUUUAUGUCCUUCCAAGUCAUUUUCCUAACAAGUCUUUUCCAAAUCACGUUCAUACCAAUUUCCGCAAGUCUUGUCAUGUCCUUAAAAAAAUAAUAAUUGAAAGUCUUUUGAUAUUGCCUCAGUUGUCAUAUUUCCUUUGAUGAGUAUGUCAUGCCAACCAACAUUACCCGUUCUAUGGCUGUUGUUCCUUUGGUUGUAAUCCUCAAGUCUCGUCCCUAAAAAUCCCUUUCGGUCUCUUCAUGUUUCUUCAAGUCUGUGAAAGUCCUUACAAGUCUCCUAUUUCCCCUGAUGAUGUUGAGGGUGCCAUGGCAACCGCCUCACCUCCGGCAGCUGACACAGACAGACAGACAGACAGGUGGAUGUGUUAAUGUCCGUGGGCCUUUUGUUCCUCUAUGGGGAACCUUUUUGAUGCACUCGGCCGUCUUAUUUUCGCGGGAAUCUCCGUUUGCCUCUUUACAUUUUUGUGUGUUUUCUAUGGGCCCGUCAAACAAAGGCCAAAAAGUAGGACACGUGCGCGCACACGCACACGCAAACAUUUCCUGUUGCUCUGCGCGGAAGAGGAUUUGUCACUAAAAUGAUUUAUAUCUGCUAGGAAGACCUUGACUUGGCUUGAUCAAAAUUAACUGACAACCUCCUCUCUGCUUGUCUCUUCCUCAUGACUUCAGACUAUGAUAUGGUUGCCAUGACAACAGGAAAGGUAGCAUCAUGCUGUGAUUACCCCUUUGUUCACUUGUGCGCGCGCCCGUGUUCGUGCGUGUGUGUGUGUGUGUGUGUAUGUGUGUGUGUGUGUGUGUGCGUGUGCGUGUGUGUGUGUCACCUGAGCUGGUUCACAGUCCGGCGACGUGUCUUCACUCAGCGCAUCCUUGUAACCAGCCGGUGUCUUUGUCUCCGGUUUGGGUGUCAGGCUUCGAAUUGUGCGUCAUCGACGGUGACCAGGCGUUCCAAUCCGCCCUUCCACCGUGGGGCGUGCGUCCACAUCCAGUUCAGGCGUCCGUCAGUCUGUCCGUGUGUGUUUGCUGCGGAGGGCAGUGUGCGGAGGAAGCCGCUGCUCGCCGGCAGUGGCAGAACAAUGUGCUGGAGGAAGGGGGUGGGGAGUUCCAAGGGGGGGUAGGAGGGGUGCUUCUCUUGCCCACUUCCCCUCUUAAAGGGCCAGCAUCCUCUGCCAAAGACUCCUAAUGGCAAUACAAAGUGCUCUCACUCUGUUAUCCCACAAAUAGGUCAUUUUUUCCCCCCAGGAUUAUUGCAAAUGUUCCAUUUCAGCUUGAUACUAUUGACACUCUUGAGUCAUACACCCCAAAUAAUAUUUAGAUGAGUGACGGUGACAGGGAGAACAUUGUUGGGCUUCGCUUGGCUGUCAGAGUGGUGCCUCUGUCCCUAGGUGACACCUCUGAACAAGCAGAGGAUCAGUGCCGUCACAUCAGCUGUUAAUGUUACACACACACUCUCUCUCACACACACUCACAGUAGUUGUCAACAAAGAGAAUCUCGGCAAAGAUCAGGGGGUGGGGGGGGGAUUAACAGAAUGCGUAAAAAAAAAAAAAAUCAACAUGCGUGUGUCAUCUAAAUGCCGGUGGUUAUAAAAAAAAAAAAAAGCACCGCUCUGAAAUUGGAACAUUUGAGAAGCAGUCAUUUGUUCACUUUGUGUGUGUAAAUUCCAGAAAACAACAACAACAAAGUUUUGUUUUAAAAACAAUUUAUUUUAAAAUCACUACAUCCUGCACUGAUCACCUAUCAAUCACAAAGACAGAGAAAGCGCUCAGACGUCACAGCGACUGCUUAUUUAAUGGGCGGCACAGUGGAGUAGUGGUUCGCAUGUCUACCUCACAGUUUUGAGGUUCGCGUUAAAAUCUUGGCUACGGCUGCCCGUGUUUGCAUGGGUUCCGUUUUGAAUGUAAAUGUUUUUUUUUGGUUGUGUUUUUUUCCAUCAAAAUGUAGCCUGAAAUUUGCUGGCGACCAGCUCAGGGUGUGCCCAUGCCAUGAUACAAAAUGGAUGGGUGGAUGGAAAGCUUAAGAAAAAAUGAUCCAAGGGAUUAGUCCGUUUGACAAGAGAUGGAUAAUGGAUGUUGGGUUUUCAACAAUGUUAGGCACUAUUUUGCAAUUUGAAGUGGAAA